CAGCAGUAGCCGCGGUAAUACAGAGGGUGCGAGCGUUAAUCGGAUUUACUGGGCGUAAAGCGUGCGUAGGCGGCUUCUUAAGUCGGAUGUGAAAUCCCUGAGCUUAACUUAGGAAUUGCAUUCGAUACUGGGAAGCUAGAGUAUGGGAGAGGAUGGUAGAAUUCCAGGUGUAGCGGUGAAAUGCGUAGAGAUCUGGAGGAAUACCGAUGGCGAAGGCAGCCAUCUGGCCUAAUACUGACGCUGAGGUACGAAAGCAUGGGGAGCAAACAGGAUUAGAUACCCGAGUAGUCCCUGUCUCUUAUAC
rnacentral:rRNA from 1 species